CCAUCCGACAGACCCCGCCAUCCUCAGGCAGUGCACCCACCUUCUGCUCCAAGGGGAAAGUGAUGCACGAUUAACGACUGACCGGGCUGCGCUGGGGAUUUCUCUCCUGCUCUGAAGGCUUCCUUUUUCUCUGGCUGUGAAUCAGUGAGGAGGUAGCUCUGGAAGCUUCCUGCAGCCACGUCUCUUGAAACAUGGAGAGAGCGGAUCAGUAGCAGGAAAAAGCAUGGGAUUGGUCUCCAGAGAGAACCCUGCGGGCUUUAGUUUCUCUGGUUCCCCACCUUGCGGAGGUCAUUGUCUGUGCCCCUGCUCUUACCCCAUGUUGAUGAAAUGAGUGAAUCAUCCCAUCCCGCGGUUUUUCACCCUUAGUGUGCGAGAGAGGGCUUCCUCUUGCUUGCAAGAGACUAUUGCUAAAUGUCAGGAAUUUUGUAAACUGGUUAUUAAGUGGCUGGACCUUGAAAUCUGUCCUGGUAGAAGCAUUUGCUCUAAAACCAUGGUGGGAAUCAGUAGUGCCCGGAAAUUUCCCAACGCUACAACUCAGGGCCUUUUUUUCUUGUUUCCUUUCUUCCUUUCCUUCUUUCCUGGAGAGCCAGUUGUUAACUAAGCCAGUUGUCAAAUAUUUACCAACUCUUCUUUCACUAACAAUUCAGAGAAUUUAGGACAAGGGAGCCAGAGAGGGUGGGAGUCCCUUAAUCCCCCAGGAGACUUUUUAUCAUUAAUCUCUAAUUUACAAAAGAAGAAACCUCCCCAGGCAGUGCCGAAGGGAGGCAAAAUCCAAGGGGAACAUCAUUAGCUGGCCCCUCCCUCAAAGCAAAAUUCUGUACAUGAAAAUGUUCUGCACAGUUGCCCCUGAGCCCCUGGAGCGGCCCUCUCCCUACACCGGAGCCUUGGGGAGACCCUCUUGCAGGGAAAGACGGCACCAUGCGCAUUCACCUGUGCUGGGAAUGCAGCCUCAGAGGAAGAGACCUGGACAGAAAGCACCUCUGGCUCUUAGACCUCAGGCAGCCCAGGCCAGUGAGGGUCCCAGGCCUGCCUGCCCCGUGGGAGGAGAAGGAGCACAAGGAGUGUCCAGGCUUCCUCCAGCAGUUCAUGCUCUGGGCCAGCUUUCCCCUCAGACCGCAUUCAACAAGUUAGCAGAAAUAAGACGCAGAUGCCCUUCUCUGGAUUUCUUUCUGCCCAGUGACCUACCCACUGGCAGAGGCGACCCAGUGAGUGCCCGCCCCUCUGGUUAAUCAUACUCUGCUUC
rnacentral:lncRNA from 1 species